AUACACAGCACCCUGUGCUGUAACUGGGGUCUUCAGUGCAUCUUAGUUUUCGGAUGGCAUUUCAGAUUAGGGAUGUGUGACUCAGUGUGCACAUGUUUAAAGAGGGGAGGCAGCUCCCUGCUGUCUCAGAACAGACCCAAAUCCUCUGGAAGGUUGUCCAGGCUUUUCAAAAUGGGACAUACUGACCUUGGGAUGCUGCCUUUUGAGUUACUGAGAGGCAAUGGGUCCCCCAGUCACCCUGGACCCCACUGCUCCUGCUCAUGGCAAGCACCAGGCCAAGGCUUUGCAGUGUGGCAGCAGCAUGUGAACCCCUGCUCAGCCACAUAUUGGCUGCGUGAUGACAGCUGGCGCCCUCUAUCUAACAGAAGUGUCCCGCUGGCAGCCUAUUUCCUGCUCUUCUCUCCAGCUACAAGGAUAUUUCAAUGUUUGGGAUCCACAUGUUCACCUGGCCUUGUCUACACCCUUGGAGGAAAAGAGGGUCAUCUCCAUCUGGACAGAUGGCUUCUCCAGGUGUGCCAUGGGCUCUGUGUGCCAGGCACUGAGUUCCAAAGAAGCAAAAAGAUAAGUCCUUCCCUGGAAGGGCUGAUGGCCUCAAGGUGUGACAGAGCAGCACGUGACUACGGAGAAUGGUUCUCGCACUGGCUUGGCCUCCAACACCAUGUGACCUUGGGGAAUUGGCGUUGCUCGCAUCAGCCCUCCGGAGCCCAGAAGUGCUGCCAAAGACUGGGAAGCAGCCUUCCUCCAUGCUUCACAUGCGGGAGCGGCAGAUGCCACGUGCUGCACAUCAAGAGCAGCCACUUGA